rnacentral:rRNA from 1 species
CGCCACAGCCAUAUCACCCUGCAGCCCAAGACUGGUUGCCCACUGAAGCUAAGCAGGGUUGAGCCUGGUCAGUACCUGGAUGGGAGACCUCUUGGGAAAACUAGGUUGCUGUUGGAA